ACCCUGGUAGUCCACGCCCUAAACGAUGUCUACUAGUUGUCGGGUCUUAAUUGACUUGGUAAGGCAGCUAACGCGUGAAGUAGACCGCCUGGGGAGUACGGUCGCAAGAUUAAAACUCAAAGGAAUUGACGGGGACCCGCACAACAGGUGGAUGAUGUGGAUUUUUUCGAUGCAACGCGAAAAACCUUACCUACCCUUGACAUGUACAGAAUCCCGAAGAGAUUUGGGAGUGUUCGAAAGAAAACUGUAACACAGGUGCUGCAUGGCUGUCGUCAGCCCGUGUCGUGAGAUGUUGGGUUAAGUCCCCCAACGAGCGCCACCCUUGUCAUUAGUUGCUAGGAAAGGCCCCUCUAAUGAGAUUGCCGGUGACAACCCGGAGGAAGGUGGGGAUGACGUCAAGUCCUCAUGGCCCUUAUGGGUAGGUCUUCACCCGUCAUACAAUGGUACAUACAGAGGGCCUCCAACCCGCGAGGGGGAGCUAAUCCCAGAAAGUGUAUUGUAGUCCGGAUUGUAGUCUGCAACUCGCCUACAUGAAGUUGGAAUCGCUAGUAAUUGCGGAUCAGCAUGUCGCGGUGAAUACGUUCCCGGGUCUUGGACACACCGCCCGUCACACCAUGGGAGCGGGUUUUACCAGAAGUAGGUACCCUAAC
rnacentral:rRNA from 1 species